UAAUAAGUGUUUUAUGGCACUUUUUAAAUCCAUAUCCACCUUGUGUGCAAUGUCGGUCGAUCUUCUUCUUGAGGAUUGACCAAACAUCAACCUUUAUCUUUUAACUCUUUGUCUGAAAAAUAUUAUGAAUAAACAAUUCAAAAUA
rnacentral:misc_RNA from 1 species